rnacentral:rRNA from 1 species
GCGGUCCAAGUUCUUUGGAACAGGACGUCACAGAGGGUGAGAAUCCCGUACGUGGUCGCUAGCCUUCGCCGUGUAAAGCCCCUUCGACGAGUCGAGUUGUUUGGGAAUGCAGCUCUAAAUGGGAGGUAAAUUUCUUCUAAAGCUAAAUACUGGCCAGAGACCGAUAGCGCACAAGUAGAGUGAUCGAAAGAUGAAAAGCACUUUGGAAAGAGAGUCAAAUAGCACGUGAAAUUGUUGAAAGGGAAGCGCUUGCAGCCAGACUUGCCUGUAGUUGCUUAUCUGGACUUUUGUCCAGUGCACUCUUCUGCGGGCAGGCCAGCAUCAGUUUGGGCGGUUGGAUAAAGGUCUCUGUCAUGUACCUCCUUUCGGGGAGGCCUUAUAGGGGAGACGACAUGCAACCAGCCCGGACUGAGGUCCGCGCAUCUGCUAGGAUGCUGGCGUAAUGGCUGUAAGCGGCCCGUCUUGAAACACGGACCAAGGAGUCUAACAUCUAUGCGAGUGUUUGGGUGUCAAGCCCAGACGCGUAAUGAAAGUGAACGGAGGUGGGAACCCUUUGGGUGCACCAUCGACCGAUCCUGAUGUCUUCGGAUGGAUUUGAGUAAGAGCAUGGCUGUUGGGACCCGAAAGAUGGUGAACUAUGCUUGAAUAGGGUGAAGCCAGAGGAAACUCUGGUGGAGGCUCGCAGCG